GGCUGUGCAUCCCGGCCCGCGGCCCUGCGCUGGGCGGUGCGGACUUACGGAAGGGGCCCAUCCGGAAAGGCCGCUCUGGGAGCGUGAGGAGCUCCCUAAAUCCACGUUCCGAAGCGCCGGGGCCUGCGGGGGGAAUACAGGUCAUUGACAAACUUCAAUGGAACUCAACCCAAAGAAGUUCUUUACAUUCCAAAUCGCUUUGCACUCUGGAAGGAAGAUACCAGCCUCUUCACCUCUUCAAAAUCUUUCAUGGAAUCAUAAUUUAUAUAGAAAUCUUCAUAUGCCCUUCUUUCUUGGUUUGGCCACAGCAAACUUAUAGAAGUUUGCAACCCCCAGGGAUACAGCGAAGGCUCCAACAAUGUGAAAUCACGGACCCUUGGCCACAUGGCCUUGCAUCUGAGGUUUCAUCAAAACACUGGAAGUCGUGGUAGUUAUUCUCUUCAUCGCCAACCUCAAACCCAGCGUCCUUCCUGACACAGAAAUGGACGGCAUUCCCGCCACCUAAGUUUCUUUAAAAAACUCUGCCUGACCUCUCAGCGAGCGCACUUGAGGAUUCUUUGUUCUGCCUCCCUUGUGCUCAAGCAAAAGCCCCAAUAAAGCCUUGCCUGGGACUCCA